GAUUACUUUGAUUGUUGCUGUGCUUCAGAAGCUCCCGCUGUGGACGAAGAUGGCGGCCAGAAGGUGAUCAGGAACGAAAGGGAAGGGGUGACCUACAGCUACUGCUUCUUCCACAUCCUCUUCUGCUUCGCCAAUACCUACAUCAUGAUGCAGUUGCUCGAUUGGCAGCUUCUCUACACCAGCCACAAGGAGAUCACGAAUGUUUACCGUGUGUCGAUAGCUUUCGUCGUGAAAAUGAUUUGCACUUACUCCGUUAUUUUCGUCUACUUCUGUACCCUGAUGUGUACCGGUAAGUGCUGCGGAUUUCUGAAUCGGACCAGGCAGGUGGUACAGCGUGAUGGGAGACUGGACACUGUUUAGCCACAACCCCGGUUUUAUCACCG